rnacentral:rRNA from 1 species
UACGUAGGGUGCAAGCGUUGUCCGGAAUUAUUGGGCGUAAAGAGCUCGUAGGCGGUUCGUCACGUCGACUGUGAAAACCCGGGGCUCAACUCCGGGCCUGCAGUCGAUACGGGCUGGCUUGAGUGCGGUAGGGGAGACUGGAAUUCCUGGUGUAGCGGUGAAAUGCGUAGAUAUCAAGAGGAACACCUGAGGUGAAGACGGGUUGCUGGGCUGACACUGACGCUGAGGCGCGAAAGCUAGGGUAGCAAACGGG